UGGCGGUAUGCUUAACACAUGCAAGUCGAACGAGACGAGAUGGAAGGAUCCUCGGUGACGGAAAUCUUAGAAAGUGGCGAACGGGUGAGUAACGCGUGGGUAACCUGCCCUAUGGAAAGGAAUAGCCUCGGGAAACUGGGAGUAAUGCCUUAUAAUACAUUGAAGUCGCAUGGCUUUGAUGUUAAACGCUCCGGUGCCAUAGGAUGGACCCGCGUCCCAUUAGCUAGUUGGUGAGAUAACAGCCCACCAAGGCGACGAUGGGUAACCGGUCUGAGAGGGCGAACGGUCACACUGGAACUGAGACACGGUCCAGACCUCCUACGGGAGGCAGCAGGUGGGGAAUAUUGCGCAAAAGUACGGGGGAAACCCUGACGCAGCAAUACCGCGUGAGUAGAAGUAAGGUUUUCGGAUACGUAAAGCUCUGUUAGUUGGGGAAAGAAAAAAGACGGUACCCAAGAAGAAAGUCCCGGCUAACUACGUGCCAGCAGCCGC
rnacentral:rRNA from 1 species